GCCAGUAUGUUGUAGUGGUUUAAGUGUUGGACUACAACUCUGGAUACCAGGGUUCAAAUCUCUGCUCUGCCA